rnacentral:rRNA from 1 species
GAUGAACGCUAGCGGCAGGCUUAAUACAUGCAAGUCGUGGGGCAGCAUGACUGUAGCAAUACAGUUGAUGGCGACCGGCAAACGGGUGCGGAACACGUACACAACCUUCCUUUAAGUGGGGAAUAGCCCAGGGAAACUUGGAUUAAUACCCCGUAACAUAUAAAAGUGGCAUCACUGUUAUAUUAUAGCUAAGUCGCUCAGAGAUGGGUGUGCGGCUGAUUAGGUAGUUGGCGGGGUAACGGCCAACAAAGCCGACGAUCAGUAACUGGUGUGAGAGCACGACCAGUCACACGGGCACUGAGACACGGGCCCGACUCCUACGGGAGGCAGCAGUAAGGAAUAUUGGUCAAUGGACGCAAGUCUGAACCAGCCAUGCCGCGUGGAGGAUGAAGGUCCUCUGGAUUGUAAACUUCUUUUAUCUGGGAAGAAAAAGGACUUUUCUAAGUCAACUGACGGUACCAGAUGAAUAAGCACCGGCUAACUCCGUGCCAGCAGCCGCCGUAAAAC